rnacentral:lncRNA from 10 species
UGGCUGGAAGGUGGAGGAGCCGGCCAGGCCAGAGCCGGCACAUCUUUUUAGCAGGUAGGGAUGCAUAGGAGAGUGGUGUGAGACCCACCCCAACCCCCAGAGUUGGUAUCAAGAUUAUUUUAAACUGAAGACAUUUGAGAUUCAACAGAUCCAGAAAGAAGCAUUUUUGGAGUUUCCCUUAUCUGACUAAAAGCAGAAACUUCUGGGAGUGAGGCUGCCAUAAACCCCCUCUUCAAGAAGAGGCAGCUUCACUCCCAGGAAGGAGGCCCAGAGCGAAACUGCCAUAAAUUCCUUUCUGGGGUGGAGGGGAAGCCCUGCCAGGAUGAAGAUGGAGGAGAUCUCUCGAACCCGCUAUUAAAUCAAAAUUAUUCAAUGAUGCUUGUUAAUGAUGAGAGAAGACACAAGGAGGAAGAGCCAGGACACAGGAUGAGCAAGGGACAGAGGACCUUCCCACCACCACGCCCGCUGAAAAAACCUGGCCCAGGACUACACACAGCCUGAGAGGAGAGAAAGAAGCAAGGCAGGGCGCAGCGUGCAGAGCCCUGACACUCACCAGCUACCACAUCCUACGCACAGGCACGGACACACACCCACCACCCCACUGUUUGUCCUCUGCAGCCAGGCAGGGCGAGAGGCGAGUCCAAGCCGAGCAGUGAGACCUCAGCAGCAGGGCAUUCAAGAGAAGGCUGUCCUGGGCCCUCGGAUCAGCUUCUUCCCAAUUCCAUCAAGAGGGCCUUUUGCUUCCAGUCAUUUGCCCUUCACUGGCUCAUCAUUCCUUGAUUGGUUCAAUCUUUUAUCAACAAUCAUUUACUGAGCGCUUCUUAUGGGGCAGGUGCUACACCAGACCCAGAAAAACCAAGGCAGAUAAAACAGUCAGGAGGGUGCCACGCAGGGGUGGGAGAGUGGCAGUCGAGGCGUGUCUCGAGAGCAGCUGUGCCAGGGCUCUUGACAGGUGUCACAUGCCUGAAUCAAACAGCAUUUGACAUCCUGCUCCAGAAGGCAGAGUUCUUAGCCGUGUUCUCAAAGCAUCUGCCAUCCUGCUGACACUGGCCCCAGCAAAGUGACCACGGCCUGUCCCCAUCAUAAGUGGCACGUACAGACACACUUGUUUCCUAACAGGGUCAGUGGUGACCCAUUGCCACGCUCCCAACCCCGCCAGGGUAAAAGCUCUGAGAGAGAGACCAUGAGCAAACCAUCACCAUCUAGACACGCUCAUGCUUGUGGAGUGCUUAGGACACAGGCGGGGACGCAGGGCCUGUUCCAUCGCCGCUCAGCAAAUAGAAUGUGAUGACAAGGCACUGCUGCGUGGGAGCAUCCAAGCAGCUGGUGCGCCAUAGGGAACAGGGCGAGGGCUUUGCAGGCAACAGGCUGAGCCUUGAUCCCUGCCUCUGCACCUGCUAGCUACGCAUCGCAGACGGGCCUCAGUUUCUUCAGCUGUGAAAUGGGACCAUAAUUCUCUACCCCCAGGGGCAGUGUGGAAGAUAAAAGGAGACCUGGGAUGCCUGACCCCUCACCAAUUUGCCAGACACGGACGCAGACAGCAGGGAGCACACGCGGUAUCCCUGACCCACCCUCACCCUGAGAGACCAGGCUCUGUUCAGGGCAGCUUGGUGUUCAGGGGCAGAGCACAGAAGCCAGUCGGCUGACCUAAGCGCAUCGGCCACCAGGAACCUGGGGUGCGAGCAGGGCUGGUGGACAGCAGGGCCCGGGAGAAGGGCUGUGGGCCCCCGGCCUGCCCCUGCAGCCGGCUCUGGUCUCUGGACUUCACUCUCCCGCACUCAGCUCUGGAAGGCCUGGUUAAUUUAGAGGAGUCAUUUUAAUCAAUUAGAUGAAGUGUAAAGUAACUGUUCAGCUCUGCUCAGGAAAUGGGGCCUGUCGUCUUCAAGGCUUUAUUGGAAAGGCAUUAAGAUGGAACGGUGUCCUCCACGCUGCCCUCACCAAGCUAAGCCAAACCUCGGGGCAGAAGGACCGUCCAGAGCCCCUGUGACGACCCAGCAAGCUGUCACCAGCAGCUGCUGUGCUCCCCUCCGGGCCGCUGGCUGCCCUUCCUGCCUUCAAAAGCCUCUGAUGCGGCUGCUGCCCAGAGCUUCUAGGCACCCAGUCCAGGCUUCCUUCCCUGCCCAUCCCCAGCUCCUCAGCAAAAGAUCUGUGAAGCACUGUACGGAGUCACCACGGGGCAUGUGCACAGGGACCAGGAAGCAAUCAGCAGGCCCUGGACCCCUGCACUUAUUCCAGUGAGUCAAAUGCAGCUUUUCCAGCACAGCUCUUCCAUUUUGGAAGGCAGCAUCCCGGUCUCUCUGGGUGAACCAGUCUCUGAUCUCUUUGCCUUUCCUCGUGUGUGGUGUUUUGGGUCAUUCAUCGCCCUGGUCACCCAGGAGAGGAUGAGAGCGGUGAUGAUGAUGAAUGCCUGUGGGCACAUUACACUUCCAGAGCUUGUUUAAAACUGUUAUUUCCCGUAAACUUUACAAUAUUUAUCUCCCUUUUGCCCAGCUGAGCGGCGGAAGCCUUAGAAACAGUUGGUCCCCAGCCGGUUAAAUGUGGCCCCUGCGCCGUGGUCCUCACCCCUGUUGGCUUCCCUUAGGUCUGCCCUUCUUUCCACACAGGGCCCCUGUCCUGGGACCGUCAGCUACGGAGCCCACUAAUGGGAGGUCCCCACAUGUGACUCUACUUCAGUCCCUCUCCUGGCUGAAAUUUCAUCCCAGAGGAUUCAGUGUAGGUGCCCAAAGGGAAACGUGUUUGAUGGGGUCUCUCAAAGGCCCUGCAAGUGUUCCGAUGAAGGUAACCAAAAGAGGCCGGGCACAGUGGCUCAUGCCUGGAAUCCCAACACUUUGGGAGGUCGAGGCAGCCGGAUUGCUUGAGCUCAGGAGUUUGAGAACAGCCUGGGCAACAUGGUGAAACCACGUCUCUACAAAAUAUAAAAAAUCAGCUAGGUGUGGUGAUGUGCACCUGUGGUCCCAGCUACUCAGGAGGCUAAGGUGGGAGGAUGGCUUGAGCCCAAGAGGUUGAGGCUGUAGUGAGCUGUGUUCGGGCAAAAGGAAACCAAAAGAGUAAAGCGGGGUCCCCUCUGUGCGGCAGAAUUCAAAACACUUUAUUCAAGGAGCAGCAAAGGGUAAAGCCAGCUGAGAAUGAGGAACCCCUCGCAGUCGGUGAUGGCAGCCAGUGGCAGCCUUCCCCCGUGCGCCUGGCUGCAAAAACUGAGCUUGGUUGAGUAGCCUCACAUCCCAGAUGGACUGCAGGACCAGGGAGGGGCAGUGGGGGCCCUGGCUUGUAAGUGACGGGGGCACCUCCUGCAGGGCCCUGGCCGCCCAGAUAGGAAAUGGGUGGUCCCCAGGGUUGGAUUCUCUGGCCACACCCACAUCCCUCCCCUAGUCCCUGCAUCUGUAAGUAGCCCUUAAGUUUCUGUCUCUUCUACCCUGGGAUGGCAUUCAAACUGUUUAACAACUAACAGGGUUCAAGCAGAGACCAAUCCAAACAGAUGCCAGCCUGCUCACUUCGCCCGUGAGCACUGAGUGCACCCGAGCCCUGUGUGCUCCUGAAUGGAUUCAUCCCACUUCACUGGCUGGUUCAUUGGUCGUUACAGUGACCCUCAGCGUCAAAAAUAACAAUGAUGAUAAAAUGUAUUGAGCACUUACUGCCAGUCCUUGUUCUGAGGCUUCCAAGUGUAUUAAGCCGUCCACACACCUAGGCAGAGAUGUGGAUAGAUGAUAUGAUCUCUACUUACAAAUAAGAAAACAGGAACAAAGUGGUUUCACACACAGCUGGUGAGGUGGAGCCCAGAUGCAGACUCAGGCCAGCUCCAUAGCUGGUUCUCUGUCAUAACACUCUGCUGCCUCUCUUUAAAAUAAUGUAAAAAGAAUUUGGGAAAUACACCCUGGGCUCCAUUCAAAAAAGGUUGAAAAAUACAUACACUAUUUAAAAACACUUCUAUCCAACACAGCCACACACACACACUCAUAUGCACACUCACACACACGUUCACUCAUGCACACACACAUAUUCACACUCACACUCAUGCACACACACACACACACGCACACAUUCACAUGCAUGCUUUAGCUCGAGGGAAAUGAACUCACAGGACUCUAAUUUCCUGAUGCCAUAGGAAGAACAACGGGCAUUCCUGUCAUCUUUUUCAUGGGAAGCUGAUUCAGAGAGGCUAAGGGGCAUCCCCAACGUCACACAGCCAAGAGGCAAGGCUGAGGUUUGCACUUCCACUACUCUGACUUGGAAGCCCAAUGAGGUGCUCAAAUUAAAAUUAGAAACCUUUUCCUGUUGUCCAGGCAGAAAACCAGGAGAGGGGAGAGAACAGCCACUAGGGCAGGGACAGAG